CGAAUGCUGACGUGAGUAACGACAAAACGGGUGAAAAACCCGUUCGCCGAAAGACCAAGGGUUCCAGUCCAACGUUAAUCGGGGCUGGGUGAGUCGACCCCUAAGGCGAGGCCGAAAGGCGUAGUCGAUGGGAAAAUGGUUAAUAUUCCAUUACUUCUGUGUAAUGCGAUGAGAGGACGGAGAAGGCUAAAUCAGCCUGGCGUUGGUUGUCCAGGUGAAAGGAUGUAGGCAUGUAUCUUAGGCAAAUCCGGGGUACUCUAUGCUGAGAUCUGAUAGCAAGCUGUACUUGUACAGCGAAGUGGUUGAUGCCAUGCUUCCAGGAAAAGUCUCUAAGCUUCAGUUACACAGGAAUCGUACCCGAAACCGACACAGGUGGUCAGGUCGAGUAGACCAAGGCGCUUGAGAGAACUCUGCUGAAGGAACUAGGCAAAAUGGUACCGUAACUUCGGGAGAAGGUACGCUGUUGUUGGUGAUGGAACUCGCUUCCUGAGCUGACGACAGCCGCAGAAACCAGGCCGCUGCAACUGUUUAUUAAAAACAUAGCACUCUGCAAACACGAAAGUGGACGUAUAGGGUGUGAUGCCUGCCCGGUGCUGGAAGGUUAAUUGAUGGGGUUAGCGUAAGCGAAGCUCUUGAUCGAAGCCCCAGUAAACGGCGGCCGUAACUAUAACGGUCCUAAGGUAGCGAAAUUCCUUGUCGGGUAAGUUCCGACCUGCACGAAUGGCAUAAUGAUGGCGGCGCUGUCUCCAGCAGAGGCUCAGUGAAAUCGAAAUCGCUGUGAAGAUGCAGUGUACCCGCGGCUAGACGGAAAGACCCCGUGAACCUUUACUGCAGCUUGACACUGAACUUUGACCUUACUUGUGUAGGAUAGGUGGGAGGCUUUGAAGCUGGAACGCUAGUUCCAGUGGAGCCGUCCUUGAAAUACCACCCUGGUAAUGUUGAGGUUCUAACUCUGUCCCGUGAUCCGGGACGAGGACCGUGUCUGGUGGGUAGUUUGACUGGGGCGGUCUCCUCCUAAAGAGUAACGGAGGAGUACGAAGGUGCGCUCAGCGUGGUCGGAAAUCACGCGUAGAGUAUAAAGGCAAAAGCGCGCUUAACUGCGAGACCCACAAGUCGAGCAGGUACGAAAGUAGGUCUUAGUGAUCCGGUGGUUCUGUAUGGAAGGGCCAUCGCUCAACGGAUAAAAGGUACUCUGGGGAUAACAGGCUGAUACCGCCCAAGAGUUCAUAUCGACGGCGGUGUUUGGCACCUCGAUGUCGGCUCAUCUCAUCCUGGGGCUGAAGCAGGUCCCAAGGGUAUGGCUGUUCGCCAUUUAAAGAGGUACGCGAGCUGGGUUUAGAACGUCGUGAGACAGUUCGGUCCCUAUCUACCGUGGGCGCUGGAAAUUUGAGAGGAUCUGCUCCUAGUACGAGAGGACCAGAGUGGACGAACCUCUGGUGUACCGGUUGUGACGCCAGUCGCAUCGCCGGGUAGCUAUGUUCGGAAGGGAUAACCGCUGAAAGCAUCUAAGCGGGAAGCCUACCUCAAGAUAAGAUUUCCCUAG
rnacentral:rRNA from 1 species